rnacentral:lncRNA from 1 species
CACAAUGGCAAGCAAGCAUGAUCAAUAGUAUCCAGCUCUCGGUCAUCAUGUCUAAAAUAUGGAAUAUGUAGCACGACCCCAAAGGUCCAAAUAUAGUAUCAAGUGUCACGGUUUAUCAAUUACUAACCCGAUGUCACUACAUGACGUUUAUAAUUACUAUGCUCAAGUCUCAAUGAGAGUUCACACUUAGUCUAUUCCACUAUAGCUAAGGUAGCCACUUUCUUAUGGUGUAUGCAUAAAUACUACCAAUGAUUUACAAUGCUCAUAAUGCAAGUCAUGCAUAAAUCUCUCUACCAAUGCCUCCACUUUAUGGAGUAUUAAACAAUCAUGCGAAUGCUCUUAUUUCAUAAUGCCAUAUGCAAGUAUUCAAAUAGAAUGAAUGUUCUAAUUUGGUUGCAUAUGGAUCUUACAUGUAUUAUGUCACCCUGACACAACUACUUGUCUACAACAAGUGUGGUAUAUCAUGCAAAUAUUGGCUAAACUUCAUCCUUGCACAUGUCCAAGUCAUGUAGAUAUGCUUUUAAUCUCAAGGUCGACGCCUUGUUAAUUACUAGGUCACAAAGCCCUAUUUCCUUGUCUACACAAGUAUAUUGUUAAUAUGUAAGAUAAUCACUUUACUAAACUCAUAGGUCGAGAUCCCCUAAGGGUCACACCGUCAAUCAUGCUCUAACAUGCCUUCUAGGUUGCAUAAAAGAGAGUUCACCAACUAGCUAAUUCAUGCGCAAGUUCGCGUAAGAGCCUCUACUUCAUAGAGCAUCAAAUUGACUUUACAUAACAUAUAUAUAAUGUGUUCUCAUAAAUUCUAGCAUGUCAUUUAGAGCAUAAUUAAACAACUAAUGUUGUCUUAAAUCCAUAAGGAAAAUAUAGGGGGAGUUCACCAAUUUCGGUGAGGUCAAACCCACCAAAGCUCUCCGGACUCCAUUCGUUUGCACCAACGAAGAUGUCCACUACUCUCCUAGCACCCUAAAGGUAUAGAAAAGAGAGAUA